rnacentral:lncRNA from 1 species
GAAACUCAAUGUCCCAAGUGCCAGUCCUUUGACAAUUGGAAUAUGGGAGCUUGAAUUAAGUAAUGAAGACAAAUGGAAUAUAAAUGAGCUUAGACUUCUUAGGAACCUAACUUCCAGAAAGGGUGACUUAUGAUUCUAAAUAUGAAAGUACAUUUCUAGUGUAUUUCCACAACAGUACUUAGAAGACCUGGGAUGUAAACAAAAAGUAAAGUAGAAGUCACUGGCACAGAUCUGAAACCAAGUUUUAUUAAGGGUUUCAUGUGCUGCCAGCGAAUUGCCACAGUACAGCCUUGAGCUGGGACCCUGACUCGUUGGCAUAGUCAAGUAAAGACACCACAGUGGAGUAAGAAGUACCAGACUUGCCAUCCCACCAGAAACAUAUGAAACCGUUAUUUUCAAACAUGAGACAACAAGCAACACAGGACUUUGAUAUACAGGAUCAAAGUCCUCUUACGGACUUAGAUCCCCAAAAGAAGCAAAACAAACAAGAUCAGCCUUAUUAUCACCCAAGCUUUUUGCCACAAGGCAUCGCACUGAGAAGGAGAACCCAAGCAGAGCAGAGCAGGCUCACAAUAUUGAGGAGGCAGAGACCAGAGUUCAGUGAGACUGAAGUGACUUGUGAGGCAGUGAAUUAGAAAGGAGGCAGCUAAGAAGAGAAAGAACACGGUAAGUCUCCUUGAGUUUGUUGCUGAAUUCUAAUCUACGCAGCAAAUUUGGCAUGAAGUUAGAACUCCAUGAAGCUGGGCAAAAACUACCAGGGUCGUAUAAGCUGAGCAAACCCAAAGUUCACACAAGGCUGGGAGACAUUUGAAUUCCAACCAGUUAAAGUGGAGAGAUCAUUUAUAGAUAAUUUCCAAAUUAACAUAGCAGAAAUUAAGAAAGGCAACUAAAAUUCUAAAAGACAGGUUCCUAUCUUUCUAGACCAGGAGUCAUUUUGUUUCCCUGACCCCUUCGUGGGCAGGAACUGGAGUGCACAGGCGCUGGCAAGGGCGAACUCCACUCACUGGAAGCUGCCGCACUCAACCCCUAGUGGGAGGGAGCACGCAGGUGAGCGGGUGCGGGAGCCAGGGCAAGCACUUUUGGACACCGGCAGGAACAAAUUCGGCAGCAUUCGUGGGGGUGCCCAUGACCCCGAAGCCCCAGAAAGAGAGUUGCAGUCAGUGCUCUUUUAGCUUUGCCAUCCGCAGAUGGCUUAGGUGUUAACAGCUCAGUGGAGGAUCAGUGUGACAGCCUUUCCUACUCGCACGCGAGUAAUUACUGGGCAUCCAGGAGGAAUGAGGUCACAUGAACAAAUUGGUGAUGGUAAAUGCAGAGGAUUUUAUUGCCAAUGAAAGUGGCUGUCAGUGGGAAGGGGAGCUGAAAAGGUGAUGGAGCGAGAAGGUAAUCUUCCCCCAGAGUCCGGCAUAGGAUUCUUCAAAGCUCUGCCGUCAAGCCGUCCCUCUCAAGUCAAGCUGCUUCUCUCCAAUGUCCAACCAUAGUCUUUGACGUCCAGCUGCUUCUCCUCUUCUCCUCCCUCUGCCAGCGAAGCCUGGGGUUUUUAUGGGCACAGGAUGGGGGGCAGGGCAGGCCAUGGGUGAUUUUGGAUAAGGCAACAUUCAAGAGGGAAAACAGGAAUGUUUGUUCCACUUUGGGCCGUGGUUCCAGUCUUGAGGGUGGGGCCCUCGCUGGGCAUCUGUUGUCUUCUGUCCAGAAUUAUCCUGCCUCUUGUCCCUAUCAAAAUCAUUUAGUUCAAACAGUUAGAGAAAAUAGUUACCAACCAGACAAAUUGUAUUGGAAUUUAUAUUAGAAAAAACUUGAGGCAGAAAAAGAAUAUAUGGCUUUUGAGUAUAUUGUUUUCUAUUAACCAAAAAUUUUAUCUAGAAACUUGGAAAAUUGUAUUUCUGGACAGUGAAAUAGGUGUGGAAGAGAUCAUUUACUUCAUAUAUAAGUAUCACCAGGUGUUGCUUGUAAUUAUCUUUCUUCUUCUGGAUAAUGGCUUUUUAAGUGACCUAGGUGGGACUAGGAACCAGGGAAACUCAGCCAAGUGUAAUCUCUAAUUACCUACAAGGAUGGUGAAAAACCUGCAUAGGUGUACCAUGGCCAAUAAGUUUGAGAUCUAGACAUUUCCAAUUCAAGUAUGUCUGCUUUACCCACCUGAAAGUGCUCUGUAAGUUAAAACUUUAAAUACAAAAAUCACUUUGAAAGUAACAAAACAACUCCAUUAGUAAAGUGAAUUCAGAUACACAUUUGGUAAAAAGAUCUCUUAACAUGGAACUAGAAAAUCUGGAUUUAAGUUUCAAAUAUGUCGGUUUAUAAUUAUUUGUUUUAAGACAAGUAAAUGAGCUGUAUUUUCUUGAAAUUCCUAUGUUGUAAAAUAAAAUAAUGAAUA